UACGUAGGGACCAAGCGUUGUUCGGAUUUACUGGGCGUAAAGGGCGCGUAGGCGGCUUAACAAGUCACUUGUGAAAUCUCCGGGCUUAACUCAGAACGGCCAAGUGAUACUGCUGUGCUAGAGUGCAGAAGGGGCAAUCGGAAUUCCUGGUGUAGCGGUGAAAUGCGUAGAUAUCAAGAGGAACACCUGAGGUGAAGACGGGUUGCUGGGCUGACACUGACGCUGAGGCGCGAAAGCCAGGGGAGCAAACGGG
rnacentral:rRNA from 1 species